rnacentral:lncRNA from 1 species
AAUAACAAACAAAAGAAAAGAGGUAGUACCAAGCUUACCCUGGCUCACAACUAUCACAAUGAUGGCACUUUAAUUAACUUCUACAACUCCUAUAUAUUUCCCCUUAAUUCUCCAAAUUCUAACUGUAAUUCUGUAAUUAACCACUUUUAAUAACUAAAUCACUCAUCCGUCCUCCUGAAUUUCCUAUUAUAUAGAUUAUUAAUAUAUUUUAUCAAUAUCUUUCAAAAACAAAUUAAUAUCUAUUCUACAUAGUCCCAC